AAUGAACUCUCUCAAGUAUUUUCGUGUGGGGCAUUGUGAGGAAGCACGCUUCAAGCAGUUUCAAGUUAAGUUUUUUCACUGGUGACACUGAUUUGAAGCAACUCAUCUUGUAACUUUAACAAAUUAUUUCUAAAAUUGACUUUGAUAUAAUAGUUUUGUCAUAUGGAGUUGGAAAACAGAUGAAAACAGAAGAGAAAGCAUACACUGAUGGCUGAAAUAUCAGUUCUUACACUGAUUUGCACAGACAGUCUUCUGUUACUCAUUCAUGCUAAGAAACAGAAUUUGGAUUUCUUGCUGCCUGGGAAACACAAAACUUUCACUACUAAUCAGAAGGUACAUAAAAUCUUUGUUUCUUAAGUUCAGUCAGGAUCCAGUUGGGGUUUUCAUAUGAUAAACAUGUUGACUUGCUUAGGUGGACUUCCAAACUCUUGAAACACUUUAUAGAAAAAGAGGGAGAUGUAGCAUAACAGUAGUAUGAAUAAGGGGGGAAUUGAUCUGUAUUUGAGAAGGGUAUCUUUAGUUAAGGUCAUUUUGGGGUGGUUGUACUCUUUUCAUUAAGUUUUGUUGGACGCCUCAGUACACUACUUAUAUAAACUAUAACUGUUCUACUUAGGAUAAUUUCCACAUACAAACAGCGCUUUGAAGAUGUGGUGGCUUACGACAAACAAGAACAAGAUGCUUACUUGGUAUAAAUAACACAAACAACAUGGCUCAGAGCAUAAAAGAGAGUGACAGCUGUGUGAUUAGUAGCCAUAUAACAAGAAAUGUCUAUGAGUAGCUGGGGAAUAGCCUUAUGUGGCUGGUGCCAACCUCAUAUAUGUAAGUAAUUAACAAGAAUCUCUUGUUUGACACAAAUUCAAAUGACAAAAGUUAAAAUUUAAAAAUUCUUAUGUGACAUUUGUUUUGAUAAAUGAUGACUUCCAACCCAUCAGUUGGGUAUGUUCAGAUUUAUAGGGUAUAUGUAAGAACUGUGGUAUUUAAUUUCAUCAUACUUAUGUAAAAGAACUGAAGGUUGUUUUUUCUAGUGGUCUGUAUUGACAUAAAACUGUCCAACAAAAAUACAUGUUUUUACCUUUGUAAACAUCAAAUCUUCAAUACCACAUGAUCAUGACAUGUAUCAGAUUGCCAAAGACACAUCAAAUGUAGGAAAUAAAAAAUGCAUUAGAUAUGUUCA
rnacentral:lncRNA from 1 species